AAGGAGCAUUCAGUUUACGAACUCAGAGGUCUAAGUUUCUAAACAGCUAAUAAAAACAGCUGAGUUAUGGCAGUAUCUCAUAUAACUUCUGAGCAUCCUAGGAGCAUAUAUGCAGCAUUAUCAAAUAUGUUUGGAGGCCUAAAUGCUAGCAGAGCUUGUUUGGGUGAGGUGAACUCUCAGAGAGAGAUAUUAAAGCUUCAUGAGGACCUUCAGAGACUCACUGCAUUACUUCACAACAUCACUACAGGGCAUUCUGAUGGAAACCUGUUUACCCGCCGAGGUUAAGGAUUGAAGUCGAGACUGCCGGGACAACGAUGCUUCUCCUGUCAGAUGUGACGGGUCUGGAGUAAUUGCAACGACAAGAAAUCACUACAGACUUUAUUGAAGACUAGAGCGGAUAACAACUCUAUUAUUAUUUAAUUGUUUAUUUAUCUAUUUAUUACCAGUUAUGACUUUUAGAUCAUUUAAUUCUGUGUUUGUAUGAUUUGUGUAAAUCGUGUAUUUAUUUAAAGUAUCCUCCAGGCCACCCAUGAAGGAUGGGCCCUGCUGAGUCUGGUUCCUCUCAAGGUUUCUUCCUGUAAUUUUCAGGGAGUUUUUCCUUGCCACAGUCGCCCUCGGCUUGCUCAACAGGGGUUUUUGUAUCUGUUGGUCCUGGAUUUUGUAAAGUUGCUUUGAGACAAUGUCUAUUGUAAAAAGCGCUAUAUAAAUAAAGUUGACUUGACUUGACUUGACAUUUUAUGGACAGAUAAAAUCUUAUGGCAGUUGUCAGUUGGCAAGCUAUUGCUAUUGCUGUAAUACUGUAUCACCAAAAAGGAGGAAAUAAAUGUUAGGGAGGGGAAUUGUUGGAAAAUCUUGACUCAAGCAUUCAAGAGACAAAGCUCAAUUACCAAACCAGUUUAUUGACAGGCUUCUAUUGCUUUACAGCAGUAACCAUCUCCAGCUAAGACAAUAACUUGCCAAGAGAAUUAGCUGGCACAUACGAUUCUUUCUUACCUUACAGACUUGUGCCACCUGUUGUUUCCAGUUAAUUAGAAAACUGACACACUCCUGCAGACUGCGAAGGUUCUUUAGGCUUUGCUGAUGAUGUCUUUGCUAUAGAGAACAAUGACAUGAAACACAAGGUCCGUUAUGUAAUAUCUAUCUAUUUCUGCUGAAGAUUCCUGUAAGGUCUGCAAAUUCCAUUAAUUAACUUGCCUUUAGAUAUAUAAUAUUGCAGAUGUAAUCAAAUAUUUCUUUAAACAUACUGAGACUGUCAAUUCAUUCACCAUGCAUUUUCAAUAAUCACUUUAUCCUCAUCAGGGUUGCUGUGGGUACGUACCACCCGGAAACACUUAAACCAUGGCCCAUUCAUUAUAUAGUCACUUGGUCAUAGUCACUUAAUAUAGUCAGUUAAAGAUGAUGAGGGGUAACACAUGCUUUCUUAAAAACAUGUGAAGCCAGUCUGUUUUUUUUCUUUUCAAAUGGCAGCUCACCCUGCAUCACUGGGCUAAUUUACACACUUGAGGAAGGUUGCUAAUAACCCAGUUUAAUACACACAAACCCACAUGGUCUGAAUUAA